AAGCCGGCAGCUUUGGACUGAGCUGUGCAGAGUCAUGCAACUGUGCUGGCGAGGCCCCAUGUGACCCAGCCACAGGACGGUGUCUCUGUCCCCCAGGAAGGACAGGAGGGAGAUGUGAAAAAGACUGUGGUGGGGAUCAUUUUGGACCCGACUGCUCCUUGCCGUGCAAGUGCUCCCACAAGGCUCGCUGUGAUGGGCUGACUGGCCGAUGUCUGUGUCCGCUCACCUGGCUGGGCCCCACAUGUAGUGAAGCACUGCAGCACCAAACCUCAGGACUGCUGAAUGUCUCCCAAAGAAAGAGAAGAGCGGGCAGCAGAAUCACAUAACCCGUAGCAGAAGGUGCAAACUCCUGACUGGACAAUCACAGACAGGACUUGGCUUGUGUGAAGCAUUUACAGAGCCUGUCUCUGUAUAGGUGAUGUUUUUUUUGUGAAACAGCUGUCAGAAAGUGGCGCUACAUCAUACUCACGCUGCACCGCACUCAUCACCGAGCACGCCGCUCAAACCAAUCCACCAGUGAACCUGACAUGUGAAGGGCCCUCGGAGGACCAGGAACUCCACACUGACCCCAAACUGUGUAAGAUUAUAGUCCAGGGCUACACAGACACGUUAGCAAUACACACUAAUACCUGCAUCACAUCUGCCGAUUGAAAGCGGUUAAGUUACUUUCUCCAGUUUGACGUUUAAUGAGUUGUUAAGGGUUCGGUUUCUUUCUUCGGGCCGUUUGGACGAGACACGUGACUGAAUCGGAGACUUUCUUGAAACCAGAGAGCCUUUACAUCCCCAACCAACUCUGCUCAUAAAAAAAACUCGGUGGUUAGUAUAGCAGAGUGCCGAGCGUAUUUUUGGUGAAGAUUAACAGCGGCUAAAACGGAUUUAGAAAUAUAUGGGUCAUGUAUAUACUUAUUCUGAAGAGUAAAACACCAGGAUCCGCACAUACAAGGACUGCAGGCAUGUGAGCUACAAACAUGUGGUCCAUGUUACAAUAAUGGAUGAACUCUCAUCUUCGCUUAUUUAAAUGUUUGUACACUUACCUACAGAUGAAAAAUAUCAUCAAGGUACAUGUUAUUCCUUAAUUCUGUAUAUGACAUAAACAUGCAUCAUUUACCUGCAUUAAGAACACUUCAUGUAUUGCCAUUGAUUGUAGAGUUGUGCAGUGUGCUAGUCGCGAAAUAUUUUGCAGGCAAAUCCUGCGUGGAGUUGCACUUGUCUGCUGAAUCAGCAGCUGAUACCGAGUUUGGGAGUUUUGUAGAAAGGUUUGAAAGUUGAUAUAUAAACACUUUGGCUGCAGUUGUGGACAUUUUUUUUACUCUAGAUGAGAUUACAUGUCCAAUAUCACUACUGCGAUCAACAAUUCUGUGUGUUUGAUUUGAGGGUUAAACUUGUACAAAGAGUGUGUAUUUUUUAUCAGAGAUAAUCGAAUGUGCUUCUUUUUCUGAUGGUGUGUGGGGCUACAUUGAUCCAUUUUGAUUGAUUGAAUGAAUUAUGUUUUCACUGUGUUAUCCUGUUGUCUUUUUGUGUGCUCCACCAAAUAAAUA